GGAAUAACAACAUUUAUUGGAGCGCUA
rnacentral:sRNA from 1 species